UGCUCCAAAACCUGCCACGAACAAUGGGCAGGCACCUGUUGAGAAGCCAGCCCCAGUUACUCGUGUGAUACCAGAGAAGCAGCCUUCUGCUGCACCAUCUUCUGCACCAUCUGGUGACGCUCCAAAGCAGAUUCCUGCUGGUAUCCAGGGAAAUCAGAAGAAUAACUAUUACCGUGCUGAUGGCCAGAACACUGGGAACUUCCUCACGGUAUGCAUGAAAUCUUUUUGGCAAAAUACAGUAGCUGCUUUCUGAUAGUUAUUAUAUUUCCUAUUGUUAUCCUUAAGCAAAAGCUCCUGGUAACUGGUGAAUUAGGUGCUCAACUGCUUUCCUUGUUAAUCGAAUUCUUACUAUUUGCAGGCUUGUAUGAACUGUCCGUGCUAUGUUCAAGUUAUUGUUUUUUGGUUGUAGAAAGUUUUAAAUAAAAAAAUGAUUAUGAAGAAUUUGCUAGUAAUGUACUAGGAUAAGGUGUUUGGAAUGCAUAAGAAAUAAAUUUCCGGGUGGUGGCAGAGUUUUAAUUGGUAAAUGAGAACUUCAGUAGGCAUGUUAGAUAAAUAUCUAAUUUGGUUACACGCUUUCAGAUAGAAUGAAAAGUAUGAUUUUCAAAAUUAAGUGCAGGCUUUUGAAAAAAGAGUUAGGCCGUGGAAGUAGGCUAUGAUGCUGAAGUUGAAGAUAAAUUUUCUUUAAUGUUUUCUCAGAUUAUUUAAGAAUACUAAUAAAAUGAACUCAAUAUAAAACUAACAAUGAAAAGGUGUUUUUGAAAAAUGGAAACAAGUAAAGCUUUAGCUCUUGUCACUGUAGUAAGUCCUUUUGAAGUUUCCGUCUCCCAAAAUAUUUUCUGUUCCCAGAAAUUUCUCGAUCAUUUGAAAAGUUUUAGUUUGCUUCUUGUAUUUCCACCCUAGACAAGGUGGCGUUUGUGCAGUAAGUACUAGACAACUAGAACAUGGGUCAUGACUCUAGGAGAAUGCUUUGUUUAAGAUUGUGCGCUCUUAUUAGUUGUUACUAUUAUUGGAUUCAGAUUGUGAAAAACCCAGCUUGUUAGCUUUCUUAAGGCGAAGUAAUUGAAUUAAAUUCUUUGGGUCGAGUGCAUAAUUGCAUAUAUUAGGUUCCAAUAAAGGGGGGCUUCACUGGCUACUUAGUACUUACAUUGUAUUCUGAUUGUCAUUAUUGUGUUCACAUGAUAUUGUUUAUAGCAGUCAUAUUUGUGUUUAUUUGCUUAGUUUGAUGUUACCAGUGUUCUGUCUGUUUCAAAUUUUUAUAUACACUUUGGGUUUUCUCAUUUCUCCAAUCAAUUAUGUUUUGAAACUUUGAGAUUUAUCGCAUUAUGCCCGUAUACUUGAUCUAUCACAUUUUCUUACCCACCAAUAACAUUGGGAUAAAAUUUUUCAGGAUCGACCUUCUACUAAAGUCCAUGCGGCCCCAGGUGGUGGAUCUUCCUUGGGAUACCUCUUUGGAGGUGGCAGCAACUAGUGCAUUUGGUUCAUCAAAUUCAACAACGAGAUUGUUGUCUACUGUGUCUAGGCCCCAUUCAAAAUGGGGGCUAACAAUAUGUUCCAUCUUCAGUUCUUGAGACAUUGUGAAUUGUACUAUGGUUU
rnacentral:lncRNA from 1 species